UUUAAUCUUGAAUAGUUUCCCAAUUAAUUUCAACACAACUUUCACACUGUCAUGGAGCUAUUGUUUGAGUUACCAUGGUGACACAUUAUGGUUAUUUGGAUAUGUUGGAAGAAAAUUAAAUUGUAUAAAAAAUGUUAAAUUACCAAACAGUGAAAAAAUAAACCAGGUGAGUUGUAGUCGCAGACAUAUCCUCUGUGUGACAGAGACUGGGACCUGCUGGCAGUAUA